ensembl:lncRNA
AUGUCAAGUGAGAAGAACCCUGAGGUGGUGGGCUGCGAUGCCUCCAUCAUGAAGAACGUGUGGGAAAUCAGAGCGAGAGAGUACAGACAGAAGAUGCAGCUGGAGCAGGAGCGCCUGGACAAGAGCGCUCUGCCCCUCAUUAAUCAAGACUGGGCGAAUCGUUUUACUGGCAAACUGGGAAACCACAAAAGAGUGGAAAUGAAAAGACAACCAGGUACUUUUGAGAACGACAACAACAACAUCUGGAAGGACAAGCAAGCCCCCGUCCCAGCUCCUCCUCCUCGCGGUGCAGCUUCAGGCCUACUCAGACCCGGAGGCCAGAACAGAAGCGUCGCCACUCAAGCCCCAAACCACAAAGACAAGAAACAGCUCGAAAAGAAGAGGCUUCAGCUGCUCGCGUUCAUCGCCCAGUCUCAACCUUCCUCUAUGGUCUGGGGCAAGUCAUGGAAGUACAACAAGUCCCUGCCUCCAGCAGAGGGCAGCGCUGCAUCACACUGGGGCCAGUGCUGGAUGUUUGCUACCCAGCAGCCCCACACUGAGGAAGGCAAGCCUUGGCCCAAUGGGCCCAAUUCACUGGAUCCUCACAGCCUUCACCUCUGGAAACAAGCUGACCGCAGAGCGAGGGACUCACGCGGUAUAGAAUGGAGUCCUCUCACUGAGCAGUGGCAGACGUCCUGGAAAAAAGCAGACACGACCCAGAAGAAGGACAUGCCUCCUGGAAAUGGAGAGACUGGAUUGUUUGCGCUGUUAGAGGAAACCCAGCACUACAACGCUGCAGAGUGGACUAAGUCCUGGCAGUCCACCAAAGCAGCCAAUCAGCACUCAGAGAGUUUCACUGAUCCAGGUGAGGGUUUGAUGGAUCAGGUUGGAGCUGGAAAACAAGAUGCAGGUGUGACCUCCAGGUGGGAGAUAUGUUGGAGACUCUCUAACCAUCAUGGCUGCAACCAUUCUGAGCUACUCCAAGUUAACCAUUGUCACAGCCCAGAGUGGGCCGCCGCAUGGAGAACAGCAGUAGUGGCCUCCAACAACUCCCCUUCAACUCCCCUUCUGAGGCGAGAUGGCAAUGAUGAAGACAAAGACUGCAGCCAGACGAGACUGACGCAUCUUCACCGCAUCAGUAACCAGAGACAUCGAGAUCUGCAUCUGCAGCUCUGCAGUGACUUAGAGGUUCUCACUGAAUGGAACAAGUCCUGGCAGGUGGUUAAAAACAACUUGAAACCAUCUGAAGAAAUGGAGAAAGUCCUAAAAAGCCUUGAGUCUUUGAAGAUGAAGGAAAAUGACAAGAAGUUUCAGUUGACUUCAGAGAAAGUACACGAACAAUUAAAACACAAGAAUGAAAGUGAAAGUUCCCACUAUUCUAAUGAUUUACAGACUCCCAUGAGGUAUAUUAGGCCAGUGUCGGAUUGGCAGGCGAACUGGAUGGUCUCUGAAAGUGAUGUCCACCAUGACAAUGCGUCUCUUAGCCAGUGGAGCGAAGCCUGGAUGUCGUCCACCGGGAAGAUCCAGCACUGGGCUGAAGACAUGUCCAGAGAGGAACGGGAGAAUGAAGCCGUGGAGAUCCAGCCUAUGAAAGAGAUUUUCAUUCAAAGGGCCAAACAAACGAGCCAGUGUAUGGACAACCAGACAUUCAGGGGCAGUUACCCCAUGGAAGACUGGGGUGCUUCAUGGAAGGCUAGCUCACUUCCGAACCUUCAACUGAGUCUCAAUGAAUGUUCUGGUACGCAAAGAGUACGCAGCACUCCUGACGCUGGCACUGAGCGUGGAUCUGAGUUGGGAAUGUCAUUCCGACUGGCCAUUCCAAUGCCCCACAUGGAAAAACACUGGGCAGAGUCCACUCCAAACCCGCAUCACUAUACUGUUGUUUGGCCGGCAGGAAGAAACAUCACUCGAAACCAAAUCAACACCAGUUGUGUCCAGAUCUUCGCAACCUUAAGGCUUUGGCAAAACUCACAUGUGUUUGUGAAUAGUGCCCAGAUCAAUAAGUCAAAGGAAUCCACGGACCCUAGGGUGAUUAUACGUAAGCAGAUAAACACAAGGAAACAUUUGUGCUCCUACAUUAAAAAGGGUCAAUCAGAUAGAAAGUGGGCAGGAUGUCACCUUCUGGGUAAAACCCAGCCACGCCCCAAGAAAACCUCUGCACCGGUACCGAAGCUCAGCAUGGAUAAUGAAACCAACAACUCUUUUGAGGAGUGGGGAGACUCAUGGAGAUGUUUUGUCCGGCCUGGCAUGAAGAAACAUACACUCAGUAAGUCUCUGUCAGGCUGGAAUGAGUCCUGGAAGUUCCUCCUUCCUCCACGUCAGACAGGAAACAGCCCCAAAGCCAGAUAGAAGCCAAGGCCACCAUGUGUUUGAACAGAGGAGUUAGCUGAUGUUUUAGCUGUUGAACCUCUGUUUAUAUACCACAUGUACACAUGUAUACUAUACAACAACUACUAAAAUUAAAAAAGACAGGAAGGAUGUUAUUUAGUUAAAGCAACUGCUAAUGAUGUAAUGGAAUAAGAGAAAGUUGUAUGAAGGUAACUGUAAGUUGAAGGGUUGAUGGUUGAAGGGAAAUGGUUGUUGGAAUGGAAAGGAAGAUAAUGAGGUUGAUAAUAGUUACAUACUUUAGAUGUUACUUUACACAGCUUUAGUAUGACAUGAUGGUAAAUGUAACAUGUUUGUGAAGCCUCUUCAAAUAAAGCUGUAAAC